rnacentral:lncRNA from 1 species
AUCCGAACUUGAGCUUGCUGUCGGACUUCUGAAAGUAGAUCUAAGUCGGAUCUUCGACAUUCUGAAUUGCUCAGCUCACUAUAUUGUUUCAUCCUUGCUGAUGGUAAUUCGAUUUUGAGUGGGAUCAUUGCUUCUGUUCCAUAAGCUAAAUUGAACGGUGAUUCUCUCAUUGGUAUGUGAGAAGUCGUUCGGUACGUCCAUA